CCUACGGGUGGCAGCAGUGAGGAAUAUUGGUCAAUGGACGAGAGUCUGAACCAGCCAAGUAGCGUGAAGGAUUACUGCCCUAUGGGUUGUAAACUUCUUUUAUAUGGGAAAAAAAUGUUCCACGUGUGGGAUUUUGUAUGUACCAUAUGAAUAAGGAUCGGCUAACUCCGUGCCAGCAGCCGCGGUAAUACGGAGGAUCCGAGAGUUAUCCGGAUUUAUUGGGUUUAAAGGGAGCGUAGGUGGAUUGUUAAGUCAGUUGUGAAAGUUUGCGGCUCAACCGUAAAAUUGCAGUUGAAACUGGCAGUCUUGAGUACAGUAGAGGUGGGCGGAAUUCGUGGUGUAGCGGUGAAAUGCUUAGAUAUCACGAAGAACUCCGAUUGCGAAGGCAGUUCACUGGACUGCAACUGACACUGAGGCUCGAAAGUGUGGGUAUCAAACAGGAUUAGAUACCCCUGUAGUC
rnacentral:rRNA from 1 species